ACCUUUGUGCAGUGGCAGUAUCGUAGCCAGUGAGGUUUAUCUGAGGUGCGAUUAUUGCUUAAUGGAAAAAAAAAAAAAAGGUUAGCGACUGAAAAAAAAAAAAAUGAUUUCUAGGGUUUGGAGUCCAAAGUUCCAAUCCCAGCUCUGCAACCUUCUGUUACCUUGACCAAG
rnacentral:snRNA from 1 species